rnacentral:ncRNA from 1 species
UACAACACAACGGGGAGCUCACGAGAUCGGUGGGCUGAGAGGGUGACUGCUGUCGCCGACCCGAGAACCUGAACUGGGUAAUGCCAGCGGAGGGAUUGGAAUGAAUAACGAU